ensembl:lncRNA
AGAGAAGUUAUCUGUCAUGUAUUAGAAUUAUUAUUCCGCCGUGAGAGUGUGACUCUGCUAACAGGUUAUGGGCCAAGUAACCACGCGAUUCUAAUAGUUUGACGACGGACACGUGCGAUAGCAAGAUGUCUUCUUGCUUGCACGCUGAGAGAUAGCUAGUUUAGCGACGGGAGAACCGGGAAGCUAAAGCUAGGCUAAAAGGGAGCUAAGCUGAGCUACGGACAUAAAAAGCCAUGGCGAACAGAAGCAAGACCAAGUGGCCCACGUUCGACGGGAGAGCAGAGGAGUAUGAGCUAUGGGAAGAAAGGAUGUUGUGCUGCAUGCACGGAGUAGGACUGAAGCAGAUAAUCCUGAACGAACAUCCUGGACCUCUGUCAGCGGCCGAACAGGCCGAAGAUGACAAGCUUAAUGCUGACACAUUGACAGGGCUCUCAGUGCGCUUGUGCCCAAGAUGACGGCGGCAGCAGCCAUGAAGCGGGUCGUGGACGAGAUAACGUCCGGGGAGCUGCGGGAAGAGAAGACUUCACGAUCAGCACGCAGACAGAAGAUGCCAGCCGGACAGCGCAACAGCUGCAGAUCCAGAGAAAAGGACUGAUCGGGGACACGGGCGCGUCGUCCCACAUCCUCAAUGACAGGAGCCGAUUCAAGAACUUUGACAGCACCUUCAAGCCGGAGAGACACAGCAUGGAGCUGGCAGACGGGAAGCGCACCUUCGGGUUGGCGCAAGGCAGGGGAGACGAACAGAUCAUCCCAACUAAGGAUUCCUCCGAUAAAACAGGAACUUUGCUCUCUGACCGUGGGCAGUAUGACAGUGACCUCAGAUGGUGACAUUCAAAGGGCAAUGGAACAUGCCUGCGGAGACAUCAACAUAGGGUCAAUCCAUGGAUGGAUUCGGCACACAAGGCAAUAUUUUCCCCGAUGCUUAGCGGGAGAAAAUAUUGCUUGUGAUGUUGAUGAGAUCCUAUGGCCAGACCCCAACAGACGGCAGGAUCCAUAAGCCCACCCACGCACAAUUGCCAUGACUUUCUGUGUUCACAGUACAGUAUGGUUUAUUUUUUUUAUUUUAUUUGCUCAAACUGUAUUUACUGCACUGUAAUGUAAAGUACUGCAAUGUACAGCAUUUAGUAUUUGAUCUUUUGGUUGUGGUGAAAACGUGCCCUCUGUGGAACUGAAUAAAAACAG